rnacentral:rRNA from 1 species
CCUACGGGUGGCAGCAGUGAGGAAUCUUGGUCAAUGGACGAGAGUCUGAACCAGCCAAGUAGCGUGAAGGAUGACUGCCCUAUGGUUUGUAAACUUCUUUUAUAUGGGAAUAAGUUGUUCCGCGUGUCGGUUUUUGUUUCUACCAUAUCUAUAAGGAUCGGCUAACUUCGUUCCAGCACCGCCGGUAAUACGGAGGGUCCGAGCGUUACCCGGAUUUAUUGGGUUUAAAGGGAGCGUAGGGGGUUUGUUAAUUCAGUUGUGAAAGUUUGCGGCUCAACCGGAAAAUUGCAGUUGAAACUGGGAGUCUUGAGUACAGUAGAGGUGGGCGGAAUUCGUGGUGUAGCGGUGAAAUGCUUAGAUAUAACGAAGAACUCCGAUUGCGAAGGCAGCUCACUGGACUGCAACUGACACUGAGGCUCGAAAGUGUGGGUAUCAAACAGGAUUAGAUACCCUUGUAGUC